CCUGGGGCACAAGUGGGGCCAGGAACGGAAGGAAGAAGCCCAAAGUCCAGAUUACACCUUUCACAUUGCUGCUGAUGGGUGGUUGAUUCAUGCAGGUGCACUUAGCCAAGGGAAGACUGCUAGGCACAGCCAAGCUCUGAUGAACCUCACCCAUUUAUUUUGUUCUGGAACAGAACUCUCUGUUCAAAAGUGUGUUCUGGGGACUCAGUGUUAUUUACACUAGCCAAGAUUUGGAAGCAGCCCAAGUGUCCAUCAG